rnacentral:rRNA from 1 species
UACGUAGGGGGCUAGCGUUGUCCGGAUUUAUUGGGCGUAAAGAGCGUGUAGGCGGCCAGGUAGGUCUGCUGUGAAAACUCGAGGCUCAACCUCGAGACGUCGGCGGAAACCAUCUGGCUAGAGUCCGGAAGAGGAGAGUGGAAUUCCUGGUGUAGCGGUGAAAUGCGCAGAUAUCUGGAGGAACACCGGUGGCGAAGGCGACAUCCUGGACCGACAUUGACGCUGAUGAGCGAAAGCUAGGGGAGCAAACGGG